rnacentral:rRNA from 1 species
UACGUAGGGGGCAAGCGUUGUCCGGAUUUAUUGGGCGUAAAGAGCGUGUAGGCGGCCAGAUAGGUCAGCUGUGAAAACUCGAGGCUCAACCUCGAGAUGUCGGCUGAAACCAUCUGGCUAGAGUCCGGAAGAGGAGAAUGGAAUUCCCGGUGUAGCGGUGAAAUGCGCAGAUAUCGGGAGGAACACCGAUGGCGAAGGCAGGUCUCUGGGCAUUAACUGACGCUGAGGAGCGAAAGCAUGGGGAGCGAACAGG